AUAAAUAACAAUAUAGGGCUCUUAUGGGUCUUAUAAUUGGAAUGAGUACAAUUUAAAUCCCUUAACGAGGAUCAAUUGGAGGGCAAGUCUGGUGCCAGCAGCCGCGGUAAUUCCAGCUCCAAUAGCGUAUAUUAAAGUUGUUGCCGUUAAAAAGCUCGUAGUCGAACUUCGGCCUUUGCCGCCCGGUCCGCCUAUUUGGGUGUGUACUGGAGCGGUGGAGGCUUACCUCGUGGUGAGCAAUCAUCCCCUUUACUGGGAGUGGUUGGGAACCAUGAUUUUUACUUUGAAAAAAUUAGAGUGUUCAAAGCAGGCUUAUGCCCGAAUACAUUAGCAUGGAAUAAUAAAAUAGGACGUGCGGUUCUAUUUUGUUGGUUUCUAGGAUCGCCGUAAUGAUUAAUAGGGAUAGUUGGGGGCAUUCGUAUUCAAUUGCUAGAGGUGAAAUUCUUGGAUUUAUUGAAGACGAACUACUGCGAAAGCAUUUGCCAAGGAUGUUUUCAUUGAUCAAGAACGAAGGUUAGGGGAUCGAAAACGAUCAGAUACCGUUGUAGUCUUAACAGUAAACGAUGCCGACUAGGGAUCGGACGAGGAUUUUUAAUGACUCGUUCGGCACCUGAAGAGAAAUCUUUAAGUCUAGGUUCGGGGGGGAGUAUGGUCGCAAGGCUGAAACUUA
rnacentral:rRNA from 1 species